CUUCGAUGGAUAGGGGUUCUGAGAGGAAGGUCCCCCACAUUGGAACUGAGACACGGUCCAAACUCCUACGGGAGGCAGCAGUGAGGAAUAUUGGUCAAUGGGCGAGAGCCUGAACCAGCCAAGUAGCGUGAAGGAUGACUGCCCUAUGGGUUGUAAACUUCUUUUAUAAAGGAAUAAAGUCGGGUAUGCAUACCCGUUUGCAUGUACUUUAUGAAUAAGGAUCGGCUAACUCCGUGCCAGCAGCCGCGGUAAUACGGAGGAUCCGAGCGUUAUCCGGAUUUAUUGGGUUUAAAGGGAGCGUAGAUGGAUGUUUAAGUCAGUUGUGAAAGUUUGCGGCUCAACCGUAAAAUUGCAGUUGAUACUGGAUAUCUUGAGUGCAGUUGAGGCAGGCGGAAUUCGUGGUGUAGCGGUGAAAUGCUUAGAUAUCACGAAGAACUCCGAUUGCGAAGGCAGCCUGCUAAGCUGCAACUGACAUUGAGGCUCGAAAGUGUGGGUAUCAAACAGGAUUAGAUACCCUGGUAGUCCACACGGUAAACGAUGAAUACUCGCUGUUUGCGAUAUACGGCAAGCGGCCAAGCGAAAGCGUUAAGUAUUCCACCUGGGGAGUACGCCGGCAACGGUGAAACUCAAAGGAAUUGACGGGGGCCCGCACAAGCGGAGGAACAUGUGGUUUAAUUCGAUGAUACGCGAGGAACCUUACCCGGGCUUAAAUUGCAGAUGAAUUACGGUGAAAGCCGUAAGCCGCAAGGCAUCUGUGAAGGUGCUGCAUGGUUGUCGUCAGCUCGUGCCGUGAGGUGUCGGCUUAAGUGCCAUAACGAGCGCAACCCUUGUUGUCAGUUACUAACAGGUCAUGCUGAGGACUCUGACAAGACUGCCAUCGUAAGAUGUGAGGAAGGUGGGGAUGACGUCAAAUCAGCACGGCCCUUACGUCCGGGGCUACACACGUGUUACAAUGGGGGGUACAGAGGGCCGCUACCACGCGAGUGGAUGCCAAUCCCAAAAACCUCUCUCAGUUCGGACUGGAGUCUGCAACCCGACUCCACGAAGCUGGAUUCGCUAGUAAUCGCGCAUCAGCCACGGCGCGGUGAAUACGUUCCCGGGCCUUGUACACACCGCCCGUCAAGCCAUGGGAGCCGGGGGUACCUGAAGUGCGUAACCGCGAGGAGCGCCCUAGGGUAAAACUGGUGACUGGGGCUAAGUCGUAACAAGGUAGCCGUACCGGAAGGUGCGGCUG
rnacentral:rRNA from 1 species